CACUUAAAAAUCUAAGUAAACAAUGAACAAGAAUUAGAAGCCUUAAUUAGUUAAUAGAAUAAAUUAAUCUAAAUUUAUAAAUUAAUUUAAAAAAAACUAAAAGAGUCUAAAAUUUAAAUAACAAAAAGUGUAGUCAAAAUCCAGUUCACUGUAUUUCUCUAUAGGGAUAUUGAGUUUAAUAUGGGAACUAUUAGGCUUUGGGUGAGGUAUUG
rnacentral:lncRNA from 1 species